UUCAGUUAACUGUCAGUUUGUUGGGGUUUGCUGCCUUUCUUUUGUUUUGUACAUCCUGAGUUUGCUGUAUUCCCUGCGUUAUUUGGAUUAUUCUUCGUGUUCUUCAAUUUUACCUGGACUAUCAGCUGCCCUUUGUUUGCUUCUGUUCCUUUACUGAUGUACUCUGGCUCUGUGCACCAAGCCGGUGAACCACCCACCAGCUGUCCUUGCGAUGUCAGCGAUGUGAAGAGUUUGAUAAAACCACAGAUGGCACGCUGCUCCCACCCAUCCAUAAGUGCCAUUCCUGAUGUGUUGCCACAUAAAUGGAGUCGAUACAGUUUCUACGGCUGGAGCUGAAAAAUUGAUUAAGAUGGAGAGAGGGGAAGGUCCUAUGGAUGCUGGUCCUUGACUUUGGACAAGCUGACAAAAUCAGGCCUUUGCAUCUCUAGCAUCUUCUUUAGCUCCAUAGGUUGGUUGAAAACACCAUUUCCAACUGACUUUAGUUUCCACUUUGAGUCAUGUUAAAAGAGGAACCCUAUAGGAAGCCCUAUAUCCACCUAGAGGUGAAUAUGAACCUGCUGGAUACAUGGCCUAAAUUGUAUUGUGCUAAAAGACAGGCUGUCAGUUGUGGAUUAUCGUUUGAUAUAGUCACUUUAGGACUGGUUUAGAGCUCUUGUAUCUUGGGGUUAGUUAAGGUUGUUUCCUAAAGGUUAUGUUAAGAAAGGUUAUAUUAUUGCUUUGAAUAAAGCCCAUUGCUCACCGCUUCCACAGAUGAAGAAAUGAGAAGCUUGACAGGCCUGCAGCACCUGUUACUGCUGCUGACCGAUGGAUUGGAGUUUUGGGGAGUAGUUCAGCAAAUGGCCAAUUCCGUGAUUUACAGGUUUAUUUUCCAAUUAUAAUCUGUUGACAAUCACAUAGUUGCUUCUUGUGUGUGUGUGUGUGUCCCAACAGACCAUCACUCUGCAGUUAAACAGUGUGUUAACCCAUUUAUAAAAACCUCAUCUUAGUUUUCCAGAGGUUGCUUUCCCAGGCAAGAGCCUCUGUCAAAAAAGGCAUUCGCUACUCUUUUCAUCAACAGUGUCAUUUAAUGAGAGGCACUUACAGUAGACUCUAACACAAUUAGGUGUUUCAUGGCAACCUCGGGAGUAAAAUUAAUCUCUCAAAUGAAAUUGGUCUCAGUGCUCAAUAUGUCACCCAGUGGGAUGCAACUUCAUUUCUAUUCAUUGACCCUCCAUGAAUUAAAGCUCAUUUCCUGUACGUGUCGCUUCACGGAGGCUCCCACAGCGGGAUGCGGGCUUUCAACCACACUAGCUCCCAAAAAAAAAAAAAAAAAACAACCUUCCCCUCUUUCCAUUUGAUUCAAGGAUUAUAUCUGAUUAAAGAUUUGAGCUGGACAACCUCUGCGACAGACGUGCAAUCUCCUUUUGUCCAAGUCCUCUUGUUAAAUUUACAUAAAGCUGAUGGGGAUUUUGGCUUGCGAUUCUGCUGAUUCUCCCACGUUUGCUAUGCACAACAACGACUACGUUACAGCACAUCAGGAGAAAAAAAACAACCUUAGUCAUAGAACUCAGAAGUCAUUUGUUGAUUGAUAUAUUGUUGCCAGGAACUGUUGCUUCAGUGAAUAGGUCAAUGAUUGGUAUUGAUAGCUUUUUUUUUUUUCUUUUUGUUUUAAAAAGAAAAAAAAACCUUGAAAAUGACAUUCAGCUAUUGUCAUUGGCUUGUGCCGAUCUACAAACAAUACACUUAAUACACUCUACACAUCUCAUCUCAAAUGUCAUAUUACUACUUAAUAAAACUUACUACUGUUCAACAACAAGACAAA